rnacentral:rRNA from 1 species
GAUGAACGCUAGCUACAGGCUUAACACAUGCAAGUCGAGGGGCAGCAUGGUCUUAGCUUGCUAAGGCCGAUGGCGACCGGCGCACGGGUGAGUAACACGUAUCCAACCUGCCGUCUACUCUUGGACAGCCUUCUGAAAGGAAGAUUAAUACAAGAUGGCAUCAUGAGUUCACAUGUUCACAUGAUUAAAGGUAUUCCGGUAGACGAUGGGGAUGCGUUCCAUUAGAUAGUAGGCGGGGUAACGGCCCACCUAGUCUUCGAUGGAUAGGGGUUCUGAGAGGAAGGUCCCCCACAUUGGAACUGAGACACGGUCCAAACUCCUACGGGAGGCAGCAGUGAGGAAUAUUGGUCAAUGGGCGAGAGCCUGAACCAGCCAAGUAGCGUGAAGGAUGACUGCCCUAUGGGUUGUAAACUUCUUUUAUAAAGGAAUAAAGUCGGGUAUGGAUACCCGUUUGCAUGUACUUUAUGAAUAAGGAUCGGCUAACUCCGUGCCAGCAGCCGCGGUAAUACGGAGGAUCCGAGCGUUAUCCGGAUUUAUUGGGUUUAAAGGGAGCGUAGAUGGAUGUUUAAGUCAGUUGUGAAAGUUUGCGGCUCAACCGUAAAAUUGCAGUUGAUACUGGAUAUCUUGAGUGCAGUUGAGGCAGGCGGAAUUCGUGGUGUAGCGGUGAAAUGCUUAGAUAUCACGAAGAACUCCGAUUGCGAAGGCAGCCUGCUAAGCUGCAA